UCCCUAGGUUUGCACUCAGUGAGAUGAAACUCAAUGUCCUUGUUCUGUGAUUUUUUUUUUAACCCAAGAGCCCUAUCCCCAAGAUCAAGUUCUUCUCAGCAAAUGGACAAGUUUUCUUGUGUAGUUUAAAAAGGUCUCUCAGAACUGGCAUUUAGACAGUGCCAAAGGAGCCCUCACAUAACACUUUCCACUCACAAGGGGAUGCAAGCAACCAUAUGAGGGAGAGAUCACACUGCCUUCCCCCUCAUCCCAGAAUAGGCCUUGGCACCACUAAUGAUGGUGGGACACCACAGGAAGGUCACAUCAUCGCCUGCUGGCUAUUCUAGGCACCAAGAAACCCAUCAAGCCCUGGAUAUAACUUCCGUUUAUAGAAAAUACAGAGGACAGAGGAACGAGGUAAGUGACACCACAUGAGAAUGCAACCAGACAGAGCCAGAUAGUGAACCAUUCCACGGGGCUACUAGCCGAGGUUCUUCCACCAGUCAAUGUCAUAACAAAGGGGCAGGGAGGGACUGACCUGCAGGAUAUAACAACCACAUGUAAAGUGCGUUUCUGGAUUGCAAACUGAUUUGGACACACCAUCUAUAAAGGGCAUUUUGGGGACAACUGGAGAAAUGUGUAUGUGAUUAGAGUAUCAGGUGCACUGAAAAUUUAUGGAAACAAAAUGGGUGGAGACUGCUGCCUU